AAAGAGAAACUUCUCUCACGUGGAGAUUGAGACGAUCACCAGGGAGGGCUACCGUACAAAAUCUCCCAGUGACAGCAACUGUUGAGAGUUGAGGAAUGUUUCCCAUUAUUUAUGAUGCUUCUCCGGCUUCAUACAGAGAUAUCAUUCUAAACAAUUGAUGCAUGGAAGGUUUCAGAGAUCUUUAGGAUCACAGGCUUAUGACUUGUUUGCUGGGAAAAAGGUGAGUGGCAUCUCUGCUAACACAGAGUUUACCAUCUCCAUCAACCCAUCAGGAGUUGUGAUGUGGUAUGUCUAUUUCACAAUGCAGGAUGUCCAGACACAAGACAAUGGUAGAUACCCCUACGUCCGACAGAAAUACAAGAGUUGUACUUCCUAUUCUGCUAUAAAGGGAUAAAGUAAGCAAAUAGCAAUAAACUUUAUAUGAAAUAUGUCCUCAAGAAUUCAUUAAAUAAAUUACUGUUGAUUUUAAUGGGAGAAUGUUGAUGAUUUUAAACACAAUUUAAUUUAAACUCAUUGUAAUAUUGACAUCCCAGUUAAAAUAUAAUGCCUGCAAUCAGACAGGAAAUGAAGUUACUAGAUCAGAUAAUCCUCAUCACUAGCUAUAAAAAAUUUUGUAAUUUGUAUGGCUAAAAGGCAACAUUUGCUAUGGGUUUUAGUCUAGCAACCUUUCGGUUCAUGGUCAGAUGCUCUUACAACUAGGCUCUUUGUCUUGUUCUCAAAAGAAAAAAAGCAAUGAUUUAAGAACAAUGUACUUCGGACAGUAACCAUAUUGAUUGUACAUGAAAAUGGGUUUUCCUUCUGUGCACGGUACACAUUCAAAAUGUUUAAUUCUUUAAUUCAAAAUCUGCAUCAUAACAGUUACAUUUCUGGAAUAUUCUUUAAUAUGUUCUUAAAUGAGAGGGCAAUUCAGAACUCAUACUAGACCUUAUGACUGAUGAUGAUUGUACUUUUUUUUUCUUUCUUGUGUUUGUAUUUUGAUCUGAGUAUUUCUGCAAUUUCUUUGUAAAUCCAGGGCUCUGUAAAAUGGACAUGUGUUUCAAUACGUCUCUGAUAAA